AUGAAAUAUAGAACCUAUUUGGUCAGGGGAUCUCUGGAUAAUCCGUAAUUCGUUUGUAAUUAUAAAACGAAAAUACAGUUUUUCUGUUUUUUGUUUCAAAACGAAAAACCAAAUAACCGUUAUUUGUGUCAGAAUCAGAAACCGGAAAACCAAUUAAAAACGGACGGUUUUUCGUUUUUGGCGAUCAGUUUGAUCGUUAUUCCUUUUUGAACAAAGAAUGAAGAGAGUCUUUGAACUUCAGUCAAUUUGUUUUUCGUUUAUUGCAAGUGGUGCCCGCUGCAGAGCAAAAUGGGCGGAGCUGGAGCUCUAGCGAGGCGGGGCACCCUCGCUGGAUCUAGUGGGCGUGGCAGCAUCAAGUGCGCAGGCGCAGAUAGAGUUUGUUUAAACUUCCUGUACAGCCUGUAUCAAGUACUUCGGAGUAUUGCACGGGAAGAAAACGGUGCACCAGACAAUACUUUUGCGAGGACAGGAUUUUAUGCUGUCUAUAUCACUGUGCCUAGUGCCUACUGUAAAUAAGCAUUUACACGAGCUCUGAAAUCAUGCAGUUCAACAAAAAGAUUUUAUCAUCAUCAAGCAUGGUCUCAAGUACAGACGAUCCCACACUUUCACUGCUGUUACUGUACAUCAACAUUUUAAAAUGUGUAAAAAUCCAGCCUCUGGACAACCUACCAUUGGCUGCAGCACCACCUUCAGCAUCAGCAUCCCCACCUUUAUUUCCCCUCGACAUUGGAACAUGUCUGUACUGAUUUUGAGGGUGCCCCUCAACAGCUAGGAGGAAUUGAUUGUGGGGUAUUUAUGUUGAUGUCAAGUCCCACAACUACUCACCCAGAAAGUAACAUAUGCAGAUAACAUGAAAUUCACCACCUGAGUCAAAUGUCAUGGAGAUCAUCCAGACACCAGAAGUAGAUCACACAGGACUCAGCGGUGAUGAGAAACAUUCAGCUGACCUGUAAGUGGCUAAAGGAGACCACUUGCUGGGAAGAUGAGCUGCAAAAGAUCUAAAGGAUGAUGUCCUGUUGGCUAUAACAAUGUUGGACUUGUUUAUAAACACCAUGUUUUAUGAGGGUGAAAGGAAUAAAGAAGAAAUGUCGAUUCCCUUCCCUUUUAUAUUUUAGAGGAGAGCAGGAGAUAUAUGAGACAAAAGAGUUAUUCGUUGUCUUGUGAAUCUACUAGUGGGGAUAGACUAAUGUAAAUAUUGAUUUUUUUGAUUGGUUUUGUAAAAUACCAUUAAAUGUUUGUGUUAACUGUAAAGUGAUGUGUUCUUGAAAUAAAUUUAUAAUAUUUAUUAUUGUAUCUUAUUAUACCAUUAAAGUCUUGUGUUCUUGAAAUA